CUUUCCUUUCCACCCUUUGAUCCCUCGGGUGGUGGCUGUGGCGUGGUGUGGUAAGCUCAAGCGCACAUCCCCCAUACAUACAGCACGACAAGUGGCUGACUAUAUCGGCGGAUGGGCGGUCCCGCUUGGAGCUCUGUUGGGGUUGUAGUUCGUGUCCGCAGCGUCUCCGUGUCGUGGGCGCAACACUCUUGCCCAUCGGCGCACCGAAAAGGGAUGCAGGCAGGGGUGUGGCGUGUCUMGUGCCACCGCCCCCUGGAAUCAGUCCUGCUGUUUUGGCUCGGGGUUAUUCUGACGGGACCCGGUUGCUCCGUCCCGUGUUGGUUCUGGCUGGCCGCCAUACUCACGGCCUCCCCCUCGUUUCGGACGGCCGGUGGCGCAUCACCAGGACAGCUUCGACACCACUCGUUUUAAUCACCAUUAUAUUAAAUUGUUUUAUUUGGUUUUGUUCAUUUCUAUCAGUUGUAGGAUUUAUUUUGUUUGGUAUUUUCCUUUUUUGUAUCUGAGUUGUGUGUUAUCUGUUUUCUUGAUUGAGUGUUUAUUUUAUUUUGUUAUUGAUUUGGACUGUGUGCAUGCAAUUAAUGUGUUAAUUAGUAAUCAUUGUUUAUUUCUAUUAGGCAUAAUUUUUGAGCACUUAUGGUAUUAUUUUAACUUUUCCUUUUGUGUUGGACAGGUGCUGUGGGCCCCCAGCAGCAGCCCAGAUUCCCUGGUGGUGGUGUUCAUCACGAUCCUCUUUUUAGGUGGUGUGCAGUGUCAUGGGUGUCUAAGUUGUGAUCCCUCUUCCCUCUUUGCUCCCCUGCCGCGGUGGUAAGCCCCAGCCCUGUCCUUCUUCCUUAUUUUCCCCGGAAGUUAACAUUUAUUGUUUAUUCGUGUAUUGUGCAAUAUACAUUUUAA